rnacentral:rRNA from 1 species
GAAACUUAAAGGGAAUUGGCGGGGGAGCACCACAACGGGUGGAGCCUGCGGUUUAAUUGGACUCAACGCCGGGCAGCUCACCGGAUAGGACAGCGGAAUGAUAGCCGGGCUGAAGACCUUGCUUGACCAGCUGAGAGGAGGUGCAUGGCCGUCGUCAGUUCGUACUGUGAAGCAUCCUGUUUAGUCAGGCAACGAGCGAGACCCACGCCAACAGUUGCUAGCAUGUUCUCCGGAAUGAUGAGGACACUGUUGGGACCGCCUCUGCUAAAGAGGAGGAAGGAAUGGGCAACGGUAGGUCAGCAUGCCCCGAAUUAUCCGGGCUACACGCGGGCUACAAUGGUCAGGACAAUGGGAAACGGCACUGAAAAGUGUAGUCAAUCUCCUAAACCUGUCCCAAGUUCGGAUUGUGGGCUGCAACUCGCCCACAUGAAGCUGGAAUCCGUAGUAAUCGCGUUUCAAAAUAGCGCGGUGAAUAAGUCCCUGCUCCUUGCACACACCGCCCGUCAAACCAUCUUAGUGAGGUUUGGAUGAGGCUGUGGUUAACUGCCACAGUCGAAUCUAGGUUUCGCAAGGAGGGUUAAGUCGUAACAAGGUAGCCG